rnacentral:lncRNA from 1 species
GUUGGAUUGAAUAAUGGGUUACCCAACUUAUUAAGGAAGAUGACCCUAAUGAUUCCUUAAGAAUCAAAGAGGGGGUGCGAAAAGUAAACAGUUUACUUUGUCCAAGUUUUAAGUCCAAUAAAACAAAAUACAAUUCUUACUCAUCUUCUUCAUUAUUCGUUAUUCAACCAUCAAAACGCGAUCGAUCUGAGUGUGAGAAGCUUCAGCUAUGGCGUUCUUGAAGGGAAAGGCAGUUGUUACCAAAGUGGCAGCGUUGGCGAGAUUCGGUGUGCUUCCAGCUGCUAUGGUGGCUGCUCUCGUCUACUCUCCUCCUAAUUACGCUCAAAAACAAACCUCCGCCACCACCAAUUAGAUGGAACAGGUGCACGAGGGUAGCAUGAAGAAAAUCAGCAAUAUGUGAGAGUCCUUUAAUGAAGCAUGUUCUGUAAUAAAUUAGGUGAUUAGUUUUUGUUUUUGAAAUAUUAUGAUUGUCUUGGAGAGACCAUUUGUCUCAUUUGGAUUUUGUGGUAUUUCUCUUUGUUAAGCAUCACUAAAAAUAAUAACAAUCAAUGUACCUCCCCAUUUAUUAUCAAGAGAAAUGCUGGAUAAUGCAAUAUUUUUCGUUCGAAUUGCACAAACUUUGACCAAAUUCAUGCAUGGGAAAAUAUCUAUAAGAUUCAAUCAUGUGGGGUCAUAUUGUAUACUGAUAUUUUCGUCGUAUCAUUAGAAAAACAAGCGAAUGAGUGUUGGAGGGGAUGGGGUUUCUAAGAAUCCUAUGCCCGAGCAAGGGAAAAGUCAUGAAGAACAUGAUCAUCUUAUUCGUUGCGAGAAGAAAGUAAAGUAGGGUUAUGGGAGAACAAAGAUGCUAAUUAAUCUCUGAACUCUAUCUCUUGUAAUGAAGUCAAAGGCCAUGGAUAUUCAUAUAGUGGAAAACUUCUGAACAUGUCUGGUCCAUAAAAAUGAAACUAGAAUUCCUUCAUUCAUUAAAUACUAGUAAAACAAAUUCCAUUAAAAUUUUAAAAUACUUGUUAAAUGGAACAAAAAUUCAAAAAUAA